UCAUAGAAUUUUAACAACUGUCAGUGUAACAAGUUGACACUUCAGUAGACGUUUUAAGUUAAGAAUCUAAGCGUAUCCAUUAUCUUAUCCUCAAUCUUUGAAAGCAAGAAACUUGGAAAGUUGUAAAGGAAUACAAAAAGAAUAUUAUUGGACAACUUAUAAUUAUAUUUUUAAAAAAAAUCUAAACGUCAAGAAAGGCUUAGACAUCAAAAUCAGUCACCUAGAACCAGUUUAAUCUGAUUUUAAAAUAUCAUUUUCAAUUUAUUAAAUUGUUAUUCAAGGAACUAACUAUAUGCAUGAAUUUUAUUCAUUUUAUAAUUAAUUAAAGGUUAAUAAAAAUAGAUAACAUUCAUAAAGUUAAAUGGUCAUUAAUUUAAAAUCAUGUAAAGUAAAGCUGUUGUUUUUUUCUUUUCAAUUGUCUACCGAUAACGAUCUUUUUAAUAAAACAAUAGGGUGUUUUUUGUGCAAGAUCCAUCAUCACGUCAACAGACUAAAUAAUAAAGUAAAUAAUAUAACAAAAGGAAUUAAAUAGUAAGCAAUCGGAUUAUAAACUAGUAUAAAUAAGCCAUGAUCAACAAUUGAGGUUUAUUGUAUAAUCACGAAUACAAAGAAUCUAAGUAAAGGAUCAAAAUGAACAAGCUUAUAAUUUUUGCAGGCCUAUUUGUCAGUUUGAUCUUCGUAAUGAACUCUGUUGUUGCUCAAAAUCCUUCACCUCCUAUGCCUCCACCAAUGGGAAUGCCAAAACCUUCACUUGCAAGACUUCAUGGUGCAAUCAUUAGAAAUAACAUAAUGAAUUUAGGGCGUGCUUUAGAUAAUAAGCCUCAUAAUAAGCCAAUGACACAAGGUUUGGCUUUUCCAAAUGUAACAAAAGAACAAAUUGAAAAGAAAAUGAAAAAAAAUUAAAGAAAAAAAACAUUUUGUAAGUUAAAGUUAAAUGUUUUGAAAUAAAGUCCUUAAGCAUUUUAAA